GAGGAUGGAUCCGCGGUGCAUUAGCUAGUUGGUGAGGUAACGGCUCACCAAGGCAACGAUGCAUAGCCGACCUGAGAGGGUGAUCGGCCACAUUGGGACUGAGACACGGCCCAAACUCCUACGGGAGGCAGCAGUAGGGAAUCUUCGGCAAUGAGACGAAAGCCUGGCCGAGCAACGCCGCGUGAGUGAAGAAGGUUUUCGGAUCGUAAAACUCUGUUGUUAGAGAAGAACAAGGAUGAGAGUAAAAAGUUCAUC
rnacentral:rRNA from 1 species